rnacentral:rRNA from 1 species
UAGUCGGAGAGUUUGAUUCUGGCUCAGAACGAACGCUGGCGGCGUGGAUAAGACAUGCAAGUCGAACGAAGAAUAUUCGGUAGCAAUACUGGGUAUUUUUAGUGGCGAAAGGGUGCGUAACACGUGGGUAAUCUACCGUAAAGUUCGGAAUAACUUCGAGAAAUCAAAGCUAAUACCGAAUGUGAUCUGACAGGGACAUCCCUGUUCCAUUAAAGCUAGGGACCUUCGGGCCUGGCGCUUUAUGAUGAGCCCGCGCCCUAUCAGCUUGUUGGUGAGGUAAAAGCUCACCAAGGCUAAGACGGGUAGCCGGUCUGAGAGGACGAUCGGCCACACUGGAACUGAGACACGGUCCAGACACCUACGGGUGGCAGCAGUCGAGAAUCAUUCACAAUGGGGGAAACCCUGAUGGUGCGACGCCGCGUGGGGGAUGAAGGUCUUCGGAUUGUAAACCCCUGUCAUUUGUGAACAAACCUUUUGGUUUAAUAGAUCAAAAGCUGAUAGUAGCAAAAGAGGAAGGGACGGCUAACUCCGUGCCAGCAGCCGCGGUAAUACGGAGGUCCCAAGCGUUGUUCGGAUUUACUGGGCGUAAAGGGUGCGUAGGUGGCCAGGAAAGUUUGAUGUGAAAGCUCCGAGCUCAACUCGGAAAAUGCAUUGAAUACUACUUGGCUUGAGGAUCGGAGGGGAGACUGGAAUUCUCGGUGUAGCAGUGAAAUGCGUAGAUAUCGAGAGGAACACCAGUGGCGAAGGCGAGUCUCUGGACGAUUCCUGACACUGAGGCACGAAAGCUAGGGGAGCAAACAGGAUUAGAUACCCUGGUAGUCCUAGCCGUAAACGGUGCACACUUGCUGUAGGAGGAUUCGACCCCUUCUGUGGCGGAGCAAACGCGUUAAGUGUGCCGCCUGGGGAGUACGGUCGCAAGAUUAAAACUCAAAGAAAUUGACGGGGGCCUGCACAAGCGGUGGAGUAUGUGGCUUAAUUCGAUGCAACGCGAAGAACCUUACCUGGCCUUGACAUGCAUCUCUAAGCGUGUGAAAGCACGUGACCCUUCGGGGAAUUUGCACAGGUGCUGCAUGGCUGUCGUCAGCUCGUGUCGUGAGAUGUUGGGUUAAGUCCCGCAACGAGCGCAACCCUUGUGUCCUGUUGCCACUUCCGC